AAUGUGUGUGUUGUUCAAGAACGAGAAGCAUUAAAGGGAGAGUUUGGAUUGUUUGAAGUGGGGCUGUAUGAGGUACUGAUCCAUAGUCAGUGUAUUGUUGUUAAUUAUUACACGGCUUUGUUGAAUACUCGAUUCUGAUUGGUCAAUGUCGGCAUUCCAUGGUCUGCUAUU